rnacentral:tRNA from 1 species
AGAUCGGAGGCUAAAAUCCUCCUUAGUGCCA